rnacentral:snRNA from 1 species
UUGCAGGCUUUGGAAGCACAUACACUGAAAUUGUAAUGAUACAAUAAAAUUAGCAUGGCUGUGUGAGGAUUACUUGCAAAUUUGUGAAACAACCCAUAUUUUU